rnacentral:rRNA from 1 species
UUACCUGGUUGAUCCUGCCAGUAGUCAUAUGCUUGUCUCAAAGAUUAAGCCAUGCAUGUCUAAGUACAAACCUUCCUUAGUGUGAAACCGCAAACGGCUCAUUAAAUCAGUCAUAAUUUAUUAGAUGCAGAUUAUCCUUACUCGGAUAACUGUGGCAAUUCUAGAGCUAAUACGUGCCUUUUGAGCUCUGACGCCGAGGCGAAAAUUUUUUUUUCUCUCGGGGGAAGGGCGCAGUUAUUAGAAUCAUAAACCGAGGCGGGCUUCCGAGUCCGAAACCACUUGGCUAUGAUGACUCUGGAUAACGUUGCCAAGCGCUGAGGCCUCUGAGCCGGCGCUGCAUCUUUUCGAGUGACUGCCCUAUCAGCUUUCGAUUGUAGGAUAUAGGCCUACGAUGGCUGUUACGGGUAACGGGGAAUCAGGGUUCGAUUCCGGAGAGGGAGCCUGAGAAACGGCUACCACAUCUAAGGAAGGCAGCAGGCACGCAAAUUACCCAAUCCCGGCUCGGGGAGGUAGUGACGAUAAAUACCGAUGCGGGACUCAUCCGAGGCCUCGCAAUCGGAAUGAGCUCACUUUAAAAAAGUGGGCGAGGAUCGAUUGGAGGGCAAGUCUGGUGCCAGCAGCCGCGGUAAUUCCAGCUCCAAUAGCGUAUAUUAAAGUUGCUGCGGUUAAAAAGCUCGUAGUUGGAAUUUCGGUCUGUUCCGACGGGCCACUUACUCGGCCGUCCGGACCGUUCAUUCGCCUAUCACGCCCUUUCGCUUCCCGUCGAAAAAGGCAACCGCCUUCACGCACUAAAGGCUUCCUUACGGCUACAGCACUGGCGCUCCCCCGUAUCUCGAGAGCUCUCGCCAAACGGUUGAUGAGCUUUCUGAGUUGAGGGACGUUGCAAAGAGUAGUUGAACGGAGCCCGCGUCGUUGGUCGGUCCUUCGCUUCUUCGGGGUUCCAAAAGCGUUCGCGGCGGAGGCAGUGACGGACCCCUGCGGUCGGUAGUGGAUUAACCGCUCGGUUACGGAUUUGAAAUGUAAACUCUUUCGUCGGCGCUCACGGGGUGCUCUUUACCGAGUGUCCCGCGUGGCCGACGACGAUCACUUUGAAUAAAUUAAAGUGCUCAAAGCAGGCAAAAAUCUUCACGCCUGAAUAGUAAUGCAUUGAAUGAUGGAACAGGACCUCGGUUCUGACUUUAUUUUUUUCUCGGUUUUUCCCCGAACCCGAGGUAAUGAUUAACGGGAACGGUCGGGGGCAUUAGUAUUGCGGCGCGAGGGGUGAAAUCCAAUGACCGUCGCAAGACUACCUACUGCGAAAGCAUUUGCCAAGAACGCUUUCAUUAAUCAAGAACGAAAGUUAGAGGAUCGAAGGCGAUCAGAUACCGCCCUAGUUCUAACCAUAAACGAUGCCAACUAGCGAUCCGCGUACAGUCAUUCCCAAGACUGCGCGGGAAGCUCCCGGGAAACCAAAGUUUUUGGGUUCCGGGGGUAGUAUGGUUGCAAAUCUGAAACUUAAAGGAAUUGACGGAAGGGCACCACCAGGAGUGGAGCCUGCGGCUUAAUUUGACUCAACACGGGGAAACCUCACUAGGCCCGGACACCGGAAGGAUUGACAGAUUGAGAGCUCUUUCUCGAUUCGGUGGUUGGUGGUGCAUGGCCGUUCUUAGUUGGUGGAGCGAUUUGUCUGGUUAAUUCCGAUAACGAACAAGACUCUGUCCUACUAACUAGUCGACGGAUCGUUUCCCGAGACGGGUUUCUCCCUGUAAGCGUUCGGUUUUAUGGCCGGUCGGCCGUGAUGGGGGUUUAUCGCCUCGGUUCGUCCCGCGUUUAUCGCGUGGGCUGACGCCGUUAUCGCGCGUCGAUGCCUUCGGAGGGCGUGGUUGUUGUCGCGGUCGCGAGAUCGUGGCGAUGAUCGCUGCCGCCGUCGUUGUCGAUGCCGUUUCGGAUAAGGCUCAUGGCGGUUUUCGCGUAAAGGGGCGGGUCGUGCGCGUCCUCAUCCGGUCGCCCUCGCUUUCGCCGGCGUUAAGGGGUACCCAACGAGGGGCGUCCGUCGUACAAUAUCUUCUUAGAGGGACCGGCGGUCUCGAACCGUACGAGAAAGAGCAAUAACAGGUCUGUGAUGCCCUUAGAUGUCCUGGGCCGCACGCGUGCUACAAUGCAGGGAGCAGCGUGCUUUCCCCCUCCGAGAGGAGUGGGUAACCCCAUGAAACCCCUUCCCGAUUGGGAUUGGGGCUUGCAAUGGUUGCCCAUGAACGAGGAAUCCCUUGUAAGCGCGAGUCAUAAGCCCGCGAUGAAUACGUCCCUGCCCUUUGUACACACCGCCCGUCGCUACUACCGAUGAAUGAUUAAGUGAGAGCGUCGGACCGGCGCCCUAGGCAUGCGCUCGUUAUCGAUACAACCGGACCGCCG